GCGCGAGAUUGGCGCCCGGCGCGGAUCCGACACGGUACCAGACACACGGCAGUGAGCUGGAUCCAUCCUCCGGAGGCUUGGCGGAGAGGGAGGGCGGGGGAAAAGACAACACAGGUGGAUCCAUGGCCGGAAAUGGUGGAGUCAAGGGUGCGCCCUGCAAAUAAAUUGUCAUUACCAUGACAACCACUCUACAAGCUGGAAUUGGAAGAUGCUGUUCAUGGCAACAGUGGCAGGCAGCCAGUCCAACAGCCCAGCUCCAACCCAAGGGUACUUCAUUCCACUAAGAGAGCCAAGCCACCUCCAAACGCUGUCCAAGGAAAAUGUUAUACAUUGAAGACAAGCAAGGCAAGAGGUGACUGGCUUGAUCCACCAUGAAAACUGGGGGUCUGAGGUCAUUGUGGCAAUGACAAACAUGCUUUCCUAUUUCUUACAAGCCAAUGUGUUGUUGGUUAUAUGAAUUAUUUGCUUCAUGUUGCUACUUAAAUUCAAAUGAGCUGCGGUUUACAAAACCAAAAAGCAUUGAGUAUCAAGGCAUAUACUGUAGUGAUGAAAGUACUGAAUCACUUUGUCAUGAAAGAAAUGUCAAAAAUGCAGAGAAAUAAAAAUCAUCAGAGAAUUGAAA